GACGAACGCUGGCGGCGCGCUUAACACAUGCAAGUCGAGCGAAGCGGCGGCCGGGUGAGUAACACGUGAGUAACCUGCCUUAGACAUUGGGAUAGCCUCGGGAAACCGGGAUUAAUACCAAAUGGUCUAAGAUGGACUCGCGUCCCAUUAGCUAGUUGGUGGGUAACGGCCCACCAAGGCGACGAUGGGUAGCCGGACAGGGAGUGUGAACGGACACAUUGAAACUGAGAAACGGUCCAAACUAUACGGGAGGCAGCAGUGGGGAAUAUGGCACAAUGGAGGGAACUCUGAUGCAGCGACGCGGCGUGAACGAAGAAAGCUUUAGAGUAGUAAAGAUCUUUUAUAUGGGAAGCGGUACCAUAAGAAAAAACCCCGGCUAACUACGUGCCAGCAGCCGCGGUAAUAC
rnacentral:rRNA from 1 species